rnacentral:rRNA from 1 species
UACGUAGGGGGCAAGCGUUAUCCGGAUUUACUGGGUGUAAAGGGAGCGUAGACGGCAUGGCAAGCCAGAUGUGAAAGCCCGGGGCUCAACUCCGGGACUGCAUUUGGAACUGUCAGGCUAGAGUGUCGGAGAGGAAAGCGGAAUUCCUAGUGUAGCGGUGAAAUGCGUAGAUAUUAGGAGGAACACCAGUGGCGAAGGCGGCUUUCUGGACGAUGACUGACGUUGAGGCUCGAAAGCGUGGGGAGCAAACAGG